CCCUGAGAAGGGAGGGCGCGGAGAUAUGGCGUGCGCGGUACCGGCCUGCUGUGGGGCUCCGGCGAAGGGCGGCCGAGAGCCCCCGGGGGCUCCGUGCCCCAGGGUCCGGUCUCGGGGCGGCCGUGUGCAGGGCCCUGCGGCAGCGGCAGGCCGCGGACUGGGUUCGCUUCCCUUCCCGGGAGCGGCCGGGCUCCGACCUGCCGCCGGCUGGGAGCAGCCGCUGCGCUCGUCGGUGCGAGCACAUGCUGGGCUGAACAGCAGAGCCAUCCCUGAUGGGUGCUUUUCGGAGGAAUUGGAAGUGUUCCCUGCUGUUUAAUGUAAUAAAGCCAGCCAUGAGGUUGCCCGGUAGGCUGGUAUUUCUUUGACUGGCAUAUUUUCUCCAAGGAAGCAGUGAUGCUUUCUGCUCCUGGCUCAGCAGUUCUCCAAAUCAGGUGCUAUGACAUCAGAUGACCUGCUCCCCUGUCUUUGAGCCUUGUGUGUGCGCGUACAGCCAGCAGUAGGCUCCAUCCACUUCUAGAAGUACGGGUGUUUAAGAAAGUUGAAAACAGCAGCCUGAAAUGUGGAGUUUUAGUGCACUUGAAAAUGCUCUCAUGGCCCUUCCUGCUUCUCAGAAAUACUGCUUGAUUCAAUAGUAAGGCAGAGGAGUAGCUGUCAAGUGAAAAUGUGUGAAUAAUCCUCAAAUGACAUUCAGGGAGAGAAAUCUGUCUUUAGUUUAACCUGGACCAGUGUCAGCGGAGCGCUGCCUCAGAUACGCCAGCAUGAAGAAUGGAGGCUUGGGGCUGGCCUGUGGCCUCCGUAGGUACAGCACUGAGACUCUUUGCGGGAAAGUCAACUGACAGACUUUUCUUAUAUCAUCAACGGUGGAAGUUGUGGACUCCAAUUUGAAAAGAACUAACUAUUACUGCAAUCGAUUGAUGUAACUUUUUCCAAACUGACAAAAUAUGAAAAUGAUGUACCCAAGACUAACGACCAAGUUAUAUUAAUUACCGUGUUUUAGUGUAAGAGAUGAUUCAAGUAACAAGAUGGCAAUCAAUGCAUCUUCCUCAAGUACUUUCUUUCUUAAACUUAGUUUAGUAUGAGCCUUAGACAGUGAGAUCCUAAGAGAUGAAUGUAAGCAUGUUAAACAAAAAAUACUGCAGACAUAAAUACAAUAUGUAUUGCACUGUUUCAAGCAUUGCUGUAAAUCGGAAGUUAACACUGAAGUGGGUUUUUUCCAUACUUCAGCUGUGUAAACUUCCCACAAAUACUGUGCAGUUAUACUUCUUGACAAAGUACAUAUUAUUAUGCAUAACUGUGCUAUGAAAGCAGUAGAACUUGGCAUAUUACCUACUGGUAAUGUUGUGGGGUUUUUUUGCUUGCAUAAUACAAAGCCAUGAUAAUUUAAGUCCCAUUUUUCUAGAUAGCUUUAAUAGUGAUAAUUGUUUCUUAAAUCACUGGGUUGUGCCUGGCAAAGUUCUUUUUUUUUUUUGGCAUUCAUAAAUGGUAAAGAAGAUUCUUUAUGCUUGAACUUUUCAAAACUUGAGUCUUGUCUAGAUUUCUAUUUAACAAGCUCUUGAGCAGGUUAGCACAAUUUCUAUUUGAAAUGUAGAUCUGUUUCCUUUACUUUGAAAAGUGGGACAUACAGAAUUUUUAGUGCAGAUGUUGACAAUGUUGAUCCGUGAAUAGAAUCUCUUCUCACUCUGCGACUUGCAACAUAGUAGCCCUGAAUGAGGUUUUCUGCUUCUGAACUCAGUUCAACAUGAAGAUUCUUAGCAAACAAAAUAAACUAGAGAGAGGGUAUACAUUUUAAAUAUUUAACUGGAAAAUAAAGAAUUUACAUUUUUCACACCUUUUAACAUACCAGUGGCAUAGUAAUAUAGUUUGGACAAUAUAUUCUACCAAUGUUUUUUAUAAAGAAAGACAGCUGUCGCCAUUCAGUUAUGCAUCAGGAUAGAUCUCAGAUACUAAACACAAUCAUCUGUUAAUUAUGCUAGAGAUAUUGACAGUUUGUUUAGAAUGGAAUAUUAACUUUUACUAUGGAUUAUAAGCUAUUCUGGUAAAAAAUAGGUGCUGGAGUUCUGUUCUCAUAUGAUCAAACUGAAUUUAUUAUGUUGGUCCUUUUGAAGAACCGAAGCUAAUUUUAUCAAUGAUCCUUUUUAGUGCUAGUGGCAAUAUGGAAUAUGGCAAUCAGAAUGUGCAGAGAGAACCUUCUGAUUCCAGAAAUAGUAUGACAUUCCCAAGUACAAUGCAUUUCAAAAUCACUGGGUAAUAUCUGUUACCUCCUCAUAAUCCUGCAUUCUGAACUGCUGUGAGACUUUGUACAGCAUGGCUUCAGGAUUAACGGCUUUUUUCAAGGUAUGAUGUACGACAGGAGAAGACAGUCGGCACGAAGGAAACUCAUUGUAUAUCAAAAGUCCAAAAACAUCUAGAAGAUUAGGUGGAACCAAACUCAAGUCCUAAAGAGAAGACCCAGAGAAAGAAAACAAUUAUUUUAGCCCUUUGGCUUGUAGAAACAUUGCAGGUUUUUUUUUCAGUCUGAAAUGUUCAAUAUCAAUAUAUACUGAAUCCUGCAAAAUUAUCCAAUAAAUUUUGUUUCAAUAGUAGUUGUCAAAAGCUAUUCUAAAUAAAAUAAGUUAUACCUUACUUUGGGGAAAGCUAGCUCAUUUUAGAAGAUACUUGAUUUAAAGUCACUUAAGUUGUGUCUUUUUGGGAAAUACUAACAAAUUUGAUUGUUUUCGUUAUUUUAUAAGUUGAAAUGACCAUAAACACAGAUGACUGCUAUAGUACGGUUACUGUCAUAACAAGGCAUGUGCUUUACCAUCUGUCCAAUU